AAAUCCGUUAUUUUGCAUCAGUUGUCUCAAGAUGUUCGUCAAAGCACUUUUUCUAGUAGCCUGCCUUUUCCUCAUUCAAAAUGUCGAGGUGAAUGGAAUGAAGAUUGACCUUAAAAAACUACUACACACCGUAUUGAAAUUGGUAAUAUCACUUGUGCAGAAUAUCCAGAAGUUACUGUGUCAUCUGAAUUUAUGUAAUGCAUUAGCACCCUUACUGGAUGGUGUAAAAGGUCUAGUAAAAAAUAUAGAAGUAUAAACCAUAAAUAUGUCAUUAUAAUUAUACAAGGAUGUAUUUGUGAAAAUAAAGUAUACAAAUAAA